rnacentral:rRNA from 1 species
CAAUAGCGUAUACUAAAGUUGUUGCAGUUAAAAAGCUCGUAGUUGGAUUUCUGUUUUGAAGAAUGGGUCGUGCCCAAACGGGUUCUGUGUGGUGCGGUAUCCAGGACUUUUACUUUGAAAAAUUAAGAGUGUUUAAAGCAAGCUUGCGCGAUGAAUACAUUAGCAUGGAAUAAUAAUAUAGGACUACGGGUUCUAUUUUGUUGGUUUCUAGACCUGAGGUAAUGAUUGAUAGGGAUAGUUGGGGGUGGCUAGUAUUGAGAGGCCAGAGGUGAAAUUCUUGGAUUCUCUCAAGACUAACUUAUGCGAAAGCAUUCACCAAGGAUGUCUUCUUUAAUCAAGAACGAAAGUUGGGGGAGUCGAAGAUGAUCAGAUACCAU